rnacentral:rRNA from 1 species
UGGGAAACGGGUUAAUAUUCCCGUACUUCUGACUAUUGCGAUGGGGGGACGGAGAAGGCUAGGUGGGCCAGGCGACGGUUGUCCUGGUUCAAGUGCGUAGGCUUGAGAGUUAGGUAAAUCCGGCUCUCUCUAAGGCUGAGACACGACGUCGAGCUACUACGGUAGUGAAGUCAUUGAUGCCAUGCUUCCAGGAAAAGCCUCUAAGC